GCCCCAUCCAUCUUUCCCUCAACUCUGCCAGUUUCCCAGUCCCGGCUGCUGAAAAACAUCCCCACAGCAUGAUGCUGCUACCACCAUGUUUCACUGUGGGGAUGGUGUUCUUUGGGUGAUGUGUUGGGUUUACGCCAGACAUAGCGUUUUCUUUGAUGGCCGAAAAGUUAAAUUUUAGUCUCAUCAGACAAGAGCAUCUUCCUCCAUACAUUUUAGGAGUCUCCCACAUGCCUUUUUGCAAACUCUAAACGUGCCAUUUUGUUUUUUUGCUGAAAGUAAUGGCUUUCUUCUGGCAACUCUGCCAUAAAGCCCAACUCUAUGGAGCGUACGGCUUAUUGUUGUCCUAUGUACAGAUACUCCAGUCUCUGCUGUGCAACUCUGCAGCCCCUCCAGGGUUACCUUAGGUCUCUGUGCUGCCUCUCGGAUUAAUG